rnacentral:rRNA from 1 species
GACGAACGCUGGCGGCGUGCUUAACACAUGCAAGUCGAACGGAAAGGCCCUGCUUUUGUGGGUUGCUCGAGUGGCGAACGGGUGAGUAACACGUGAGUAACCUGCCCUUGACUUUGGGAUAACUUCAGGAAACUGGGGCUAAUACCGGAUAGGAGCUCCUGCUGCAUGGUGGGGGUUGGAAAGUUUCGGCGGUUGGGGAUGGACUCGCGGCUUAUCAGCUUGUUGGUGGGGUAGUGGCUUACCAAGGCUUUGACGGGUAGCCGGCCUGAGAGGGUGACCGGCCACAUGGGGACUGAGAGACGGCCCAGAAUCCUACGGGAGGCAGCAGGGGGGAAUAUUGCACAAUGGGCGGAAGCCUGAUGCAGCAACGCCGCGUGCGGGAUGACGGCCUUCGGGUUGUAAACCGCUUUCGCCUGUGACGAAGCGUGAGUGACGGUAAUGGGUAAAGAAGCACCGGCUAACUACGUG